rnacentral:rRNA from 1 species
AUUGAACGCUGGCGGCAUGCCUUACACAUGCAAGUCGAACGGCAGCACGGGAGCAAUCCUGGUGGCGAGUGGCGAACGGGUGAGUAAUAUAUCGGAACGUGCCCAGUAGUGGGGGAUAACUGCUCGAAAGAGCAGCUAAUACCGCAUACGACCUGAGGGUGAAAGCGGGGGGAUCGCAAGACCUCGCGCUAUUGGAGCGGCCGAUAUCAGAUUAGCUAGUUGGUGGGGUAAAGGCCUACCAAGGCAACGAUCUGUAGUUGGUCUGAGAGGACGACCAGCCACACUGGGACUGAGACACGGCCCAGACUCCUACGGGAGGCAGCAGUGGGGAAUUUUGGACAAUGGGCGCAAGCCUGAUCCAGCAAUGCCGCGUGCAGGAAGAAGGCCUCGGUUGUAACUAGCUUUGUCUAGGGAAGGAAAUACCUCUGGGCUAAUAUCCCGGGGGAGUGACGGUACCGUGAAGAAUAAGCACCGGCUAACUACGUAGCCAGCAGCCGCGGUAA